rnacentral:rRNA from 1 species
CAUAAAUGAUUUUUGGAUUCGGAGCGAGUGGCGAACUGGUGAGUAACACGUGGGUAACCUGCCCCGAAGCGGGGGAUAACAUUUGGAAACAAGUGCUAAUACCGCAUAAUUAGUUGGAACCGCAUGGUUCCAACUUGAAAGAUGGCUCUGCUAUCACUUUGGGAUGGACCCGCGCCGUAUUAGUUAGUUGGUGAGAUAAAAGCCCACCAAGACGAUGAUACGUAGCCGACCUGAGAGGGUAAUCGGCCACAUUGGGACUGAGACACGGCCCAGACUCCUACGGGAGGCAGCAGUAGGGAAUCUUCCACAAUGGACGAAAGUCUGAUGGAGCAACGCCGCGUGAGUGAUGAAGGUUUUCGGAUCGUAAAACUCUGUUGUUAAAGAAGAACAAGUGUUAGAGUAACUGUUAACACUUUGACGGUAUUUAACCAGAAAGCCACGGCUAACUACGUGCCAGCAGCCGCGGUAAUACGUAGGUGGCAAGCGUUGUCCGGAUUUAUU